rnacentral:rRNA from 1 species
UACGGAGGAUCCAAGCGUUAUCCGGAAUCAUUGGGUUUAAAGGGUCCGUAGGCGGUUUUGUAAGUCAGUGGUGAAAGCCCAUCGCUCAACGGUGGAACGGCCAUUGAUACUGCAAGACUUGAAUUAUUGGGAAGUAACUAGAAUAUGUAGUGUAGCGGUGAAAUGCUUAGAGAUUACAUGGAAUACCAAUUGCGAAGGCAGGUUACUACCAAUAUAUUGACGCUGAUGGAC